rnacentral:misc_RNA from 1 species
UACGUAGGGGGCGAGCGUUGUCCGGAUUUACUGGGCGUAAAGCGCACGUAGGCGGAGGGUUAAGUUGGCUGUGAAAGCGCCCGGCUCAACUGGGCGAGGUCGGCCAAGACUGGCUUUCUGGAGGGUAGCAGAGGAAGAUGGAAUUCCCCGAGUAGUGGUGAAAUGCGUAGAGACGGGGAGGAACACCAGUGGCGAAGGCGGUCUUCUGGGCUACAUCUGACGCUGAGGUGCGAAGGCGUGGGGAGCGAACCGG